rnacentral:lncRNA from 10 species
GCAGGGGUGACCAUAUUUUAAUAUGCUUGGAAACCGUGGCAGGGGAGGUUCAUUCCCUUGCCUGUUUGUACAGGAGAAACAGUGAAAGAAAUCUGAGUCAACCAGGCUGCAGGGAGUAGAAGGCUGAGACUUUUUCUUUUUUUUUUUUUUAAUACAAGGUGGUGCGUAAAAGUAAUAAAGAGGUCACAGGGAAAAUCUGUAUCAUGAUGAAUCCAGUUAUUGCAAAAGAGCUGUUUCCUUCAAUGUUCGAAAGCUGAUAAUACACGUGCACAGGCGUCUGCUUCUAAUUUCAGGGAAGCUAAGCCCAGGAGCGACCGCUUUGGAGGCCAUCUGCAUGGAGCUGGCUGUCACCCCUGGUGCACGCGAGUGGUGGGGUCUGUACCCCGGAGGCCUCAGUUUCCCCAGCUCUUUUGCCUGCACACCUGGGUCCCACAUCCCCAGCCUGAGACAGGAUCUCCUUGUCACCGUGGCUCUGCCACGUCUGGAGGUUUCCUGACCGCGCUCAGGCACCUCUCUUGGAACCUGUUUCCGCAUCAGCAAGGACAGGCGAGGCCAGGGAGGAGGAAGAAGCUAACUCUCGUUAAAAGAAAAACUUUACACAAAUUAAAUCUAACAGAGUUUAACUGAGCAAAGAAUGGUUCGGGAAUCAGUCAGCCUCCCGAACCAGAAGAGAUUCAGGGAGAUUCCGGCACUGCCGUGGGACCAAAGAAGAUUUAUGAACAGAAAAAGUAGGGUGACUUACGGAAGACAGAGCGCAGUCCAGAAGCAGCCACUUGGCUCCAGCUUAGGGUCUGUCUUACUUGAUCAGGGAAAACUCGAUGACUGGCACAAGAGUAGGUUACAGACUAUUUACACGUCCAGUUUGGUACAGUUCACUGUGUACAGAAAGACUUUUUUUUUUUUUUUCAGAAAGAGUCUCGCUCUGUCACCCAGGCUGGAGUGCAGUGGCGUGAUCUUGGCUCACUGCAAGCUCCGCCUCCUGGGUUCAUGCCAUUUAGGCUGAACUUAUGUGAGGAGGCAGCUUUAGGCUAAGCUUAUCACUCUGAAUUCUCAGUGGCAUGUCGGAGUUUGCAAGAAAGGUGGAUUUCCCAUUCAUGCCAACUCCUCCAGCAUGGCUACAGAUCGCGGCUCAUCAACAACUCACACGUUCCUCCCAGGUGUUAGGGCAGGACUCAGAACUGGAGGUCCGUGCACUGGCUCGUCUAUGCUCCAGCCUAGAAAUGUCCCCGAGGCAUGGCCAGAGUCCUCCAGGCUGGGGAGCAGCGGAGGCCAGGCCAUGCCAGAUCUGUCGUCUGGGUUUAGCUUCGUUGCAGUGAGUGUUUACAGCUGAGUGGUGCUCUGGUGACCGUUGCUCUACAAUGAUCCCUCUGGCAGCUCCACGGAAAACAGCAAUAGUUGUCCAAUUCAGGAGUGAGUUUCCACAUCCAUCCCUGCUAAGGGAGUGCACAGUGAUGGUGACUGAGAAGCUCCUCAGAGCACCAGUUCUGAAGUCACACACGUUGGGUUUGGGACUGGGAUCCAACAACUCCUUGUUGUGGGACAGUGUGCAGUCCUUGUCUGGUGACCCCACUUCCCGGUCUGCAAAAUGGGAUCCUGAGACCUGCCCCUCUUAGGGCUGGGAGGACCCGACCAGCAAAGCCCACACGGCCUCAGGGCCAGGCAGGUCCCAGAGUAAAGGACGUGCCAGCGUAAUUGUUGCCCUGGGUGUUGUUAGUGAUAUCACUGAGAGCUGAUAUUUUCCUUUCUCCACUGCCACCUCCACGAAGACAGCACACAUUUGCUUAAGAAAUAGCAGCUAGAGCUUGGGCUGAACUGUGAAACAUAGCAAGUGUGCUAUAUCAAUCAGAGAACACUUUUCCCUGGCACCAGUGAUUUCUCGGAGAACUGUGAGCCCAGGCAUCAGCUGUGAUUCCAUGAGUGAUGGAGGGCCAAGAAGCAGAAUGACACCAAGGGACCUUUUGUAAACACCCGCAGGAGCUCUCUGCAUCCACGACAGGAAAAUAAAGACACAAACUCUUCUCUGAAAUUAGGGAAAAGGAAAUAGAGAAAGUAGAUGAAUGCUUUAAGGAAAUUUUUGAAGAUA